ensembl:lncRNA
UCAUUUUCUUAUUUCACUAGUUUGUUGCAUGUCAAAUGAAUAGAAUUCUUUCUUGUUUAUUUUGUGAUCAUAGGCCGCGCCACAUAAUUUGACAUGGAGGAGAGCAGUGGGGAGGGUUUGGCAGGUCAAGGGGUUUUCCAAACUGUCCAAAUGUGGUAAACAUAGCCAUUCUGAAUAUAUCUUUUUAAAGCAUACCCGUAUUUCAGCAAGCUUUACAUGCUAUUUGCUGUGUGAAAUAUGACAAAUCAAACACACAAAGCAUUAAAAAAAUAAAAAAAUGAGUUGGACUAAAAGGUGAAAACAUGAAGAAAAAUGUGCUGCUUAGUUCAGGUUGUUAUGGACCGUUCACCCUCAAUUUACUCAGCAAGAGUAAAAGAUUUCAGAACAGUAAAAGUUUCACAAUGGAUUGGCUGCGUGUUUCUUUCAGGAUAUUGGUGGGAUUGAUAAAAUGUUGAAGAAUUGUCAGCGAUCAAUUGAUAAAAUCCAACCAUCUCCAUCAUUGUCACUCUUGUUUGGUCAACAAAAUGAAUUAUAUUGACACCAAACCGUUGUAACUGAUUGUUACAUUUGUUUUUGUUGUCUUCGUUCCACCGUUAGGUUCGUAUUUUCAAAUCUGUUUAGGGAGGAAUGUGCAUAAGCAAGUGGAGGUUUUAAUAUUAUAGAAAAUAUUUAAUAUAAAUCUAAUAUGUAACAAGGACACUUUUGGAUUGUUGAGCAUAGACAAUAUUUUAAGGUAUAACUCCAUAAUUUUCAUUAUUUACUCCAUUAUUUUUAGAAUUCACUGAUUACACUUUAAUUAAGUAAAAUUCUGUUUAAAAAAUGGAAUUCACAUUUUAGCUAUACUUUGAACGGAUCUUUAGUCAAAUGACCUUUUUUCCUGUUUGCCUUCUGUGUAGCUAUUGCUCUACGAAAACUGAUAUGAUCUCUAGUGUUUUAUUUUUGGCUAAAGGCCUUUGAAAAAUACAUUAAAAUGUUGCAUUAAACCACUUCACCAUGCACCCUUUCUUGUGUGGCCUUUCUAGGAAGAUUCAUUCCCACACAGUGAGUGGGAGUCUGUGUGGUGCCCCGCCCUGCAGCCCUGCAGCCCUGCACACCCGCUCACCCCCCCACGGCCAGUCCAACAUGGUCUGUCUGAUGCAGAGAGAGACAUCAAUAAUAAGAGCUGAAGCAGAAACCACAGCGCAGAACACUAACGGGAGAGGGAGGGCGGACGUUGGAUACAACGGGCUCUGCUGCAGGCUGAAGUGGGCAGGCGUGCGGCUUUGGCCGCAGGAAGCUGAGAAUUCUUUGGAGAAUGGAAGAUGUCUUAUGGGGAGACAUACUGGCCUCCACCCACUCACCAUCCAGAAAUGA